AUGGACAUUUUGUGCUCCCAUGACAGCACAAAAUGGAGAGACUGGGCCAAACUAUGUACAGAUCUUGCGAAGGAAAUCUCCAAUCGGCUACUCACCUUUGACAUUGCAGACUACAUCCACUUUCGGGCAACUUGCAAGCCAUGGCGUGACUUCACUGAUGACCCGCACACAUGUGAUGCGAUGGACAUCCGCUUUCGCCCACGCAACUGGAUCACGCUCGCUCACUGUGCAUCCCCGUCACGCCGUACCCUUCUCAAUGUCACCACCGGUGCUCGUACCAACAUUGACUUCCCGGAUCUAGCCACCCAGCAUUACCUCGGCACGGCUGACGGCCUCCUUGUCCUUGGCCAUUAG
rnacentral:rRNA from 1 species